rnacentral:lncRNA from 1 species
AUAGCCCUCUCGUCGAUCCCGUCCUAGUAGCUUAGAAACCACCUGCAAUCAUUUUGAUCUUCCUAAAUCUCUCUGGCUAGCUGCUUUCUGGUGACCAAAGGGAUUUCUAGAAACUGCUUCCUGUCUUCCUUCCUCGGCUGUCUGUCAUCUUGCUUUGAAACAAUGGCAGUCCCGCAAGGUGCUGCUGCUGCCCCUCUCCCAGUCUCUGCAAUUGGGUUUGAGGGAUAUGAGAAGCGCCUUGAGAUCAGCUUCUCUGAGGCAUCUGUCUUCGCUGACCCCAACGGAAGGGGACUGCGCGCGCUCUCGCGCGCCCAGAUUGACUCUGUUCUUGACCUUGCACGGUGCACCAUUGUGUCUGAGCUCUCAAACGAGGACUUUGACUCUUAUGUCUUAUCUGAGUCAAGCCUGUUUGUGUACCC